rnacentral:tRNA from 1 species
GGGGCAAUAGCUCAGUGGUUAGAGCAUUCGAUUGCAGAUCGAACGGUCGGUGGUUCGAGUCCGCCUUGCCCCU